rnacentral:rRNA from 1 species
AGCGAACGCUGGCGGCGUGCUUAACACAUGCAAGUCGCGCGGGAAAGAGACUUUCGGGUCUUGAGUAGAGCGGCGGACGGGUGCGUAAGACGCGGGUGACCUAUCCGAGAGGCGGGGAUAACCCAGCGAAAGCGGGGCUAAUACCGGAUGAGCCCCCAGGCGGAAACGCGCGGGGCGAAAGAUGCUACUCGAUAGUGGCAUGUCCUCACGGAGGGGCCCACGUCCUAUCAGCUUAGGGUUGUGGUAACGGCGCACCAAGGCGAAGACGGUAGCUGGUCUGAGAGGAUGGCCA